rnacentral:rRNA from 1 species
ACCCGCUGAACUUAAGCAUAUCAAUAAGCGGAGGAAAAGAAACUAACAAGGAUUCCCCCAGUAACGGCGAGUGAAGAGGGAUCAGCCCAAAUUUGUAAUCUGGCUCUUUCAGAGUCUGAGUUGUAAUUUUAAGAACUGUUUUCUGCUCUGGACCAUGUACAAGUCUGUUGAAAUGCAGCAUCAUUGAGGGUGAGAAUCCUGUUUAUGAUAUGGACUACCAGGGCUCUAUGAUACAGUGUCUAAGAGUCGAGUUGUUUGGGAAUGCAGCUCAAAGUGGGUGGUAAAUUCCAUCUAAGGCUAAAUAUUGGUGAGAGACCGAUAGCAAACAAGUACCGUGAGGGAAAGAUGAAAAGAACUUUGGAAAGAGAGUUAACAGUACGUGAAAUUGUUAAAAGGGAAACAGUUGAAGUUAGACUUGUUGUUGUUGGUUCAGCUCUUUAAGGGUGUUUUCUGAUAAUUAACAAACCAACAUCAAUCUUUGGGUGUUGGAUAAGGGUCAUUGAAAUGUAGCAGUUUUGGCUGUGUUAUAGUCUUUGACUUGGAUACAAUGCUUAGGAUUGAGGAUUGCAGUAAGCCAUUUAUUUGGUGGGACAAUUUAUUGUUCUUCUUACUGAGGAUGUUGGUGCAAUAGCUUUAAUUGACCCGUCUUGAAACACGGACCAAGGAGA